rnacentral:rRNA from 1 species
UAAACCCUACGGGAGGCAGCAGUGGGGGAUAUUGCACAAUGGGGGGAACCCUGAUGCAGCGACGCCGCGUGGGCGAUGGAGCGCCUCGGCGCGUAAAGCCCUAUCAGCAGGGAAGAAGAUGACGGUACCUGACUAAGAAGCCCCGGCUAAAUACGUGCCAGCAGCCGCGGUAAUACGUAUGGGGCAAGCGUUAUCCGGAUUUACUGGGUGUAAAGGGAGCGUAGGUGGCGUGCCAAGUCAGGAGUGAAAACCCAGGGCCCAACCCUGGGACUGCUCUUGAAACUGGCAGGCUUGAGUGUUGGAGG